GAUUAAAUGGCUGAAAUUAAGCGAUAAAUUGUAAAUUUAUUUAUAAGAAUUUUUUUCUUUUUAAUCA